CCUACGGGAGGCAGCAGUGGGGAAUCUUGCGCAAUGGGCGAAAGCCUGACGCAGCCAUGCCGCGUGAAUGAUGAAGGUCUUAGGAUUGUAAAAUUCUUUCACCGGGGACGAUAAUGACGGUACCCGGAGAAGAAGCCCCGGCUAACUUCGUGCCAGCAGCCGCGGUAAUACGAAGGGGGCUAGCGUUGCUCGGAAUUACUGGGCGUAAAGGGAGCGUAGGCGGAUAGUUUAGUCAGAGGUGAAAGCCCAGGGCUCAACCUUGGAAUUGCCUUUGAUACUGGCUAUCUUGAGUGUGGGAGAGGUAUGUGGAACUCCGAGUGUAGAGGUGAAAUUCGUAGAUAUUCGGAAGAACACCAGUGGCGAAGGCGACAUACUGGCCCAUUACUGACGCUGAGGCUCGAAAGCGUGGGGAGCAAACAGGAUUAGAUACCCUGGUAGUCCACGCUGUAAACGAUGAGUGCUAGUUGUCGGCAUGCAUGCAUGUCGGUGACGCAGCUACGACAUAAGACACUCCGCCGUCGGGAGGUACGGUCGCGAGAAGUUAAACUAACAAUAGUAAGUUAGUACGGCGUGAGACGUAGACCGACGGACGACGACGAGGGAGGAGG
rnacentral:rRNA from 1 species